CACGUAAGGAGCGAGCGUUGUUCGGAAUUAUUGGGCGUAAAGGGCAUGUAGGCGGUUUCGUAAGCUUGGCGUGAAAUGGUAGGGCUUAACCCUAUCCUGCGUCGAGAACUGCGAGACUAGAAUCACUGAGGGGGAAUCAGAAUUCCAGGUGUAGGGGUGAAAUCUGUAGAUAUCUGGAAGAAUACCAGUGGCGAAGGCGGAUUCCUGGCAGAUGAUUGACGCUGAGGUGCGAAAGCGUGGGGAGCAAACAGG
rnacentral:rRNA from 1 species